rnacentral:rRNA from 1 species
GAUGAACGCUGGCGGCGUGCCUAAUACAUGCAAGUCGAGCGAACAGACGAGGAGCUUGCUCCUCUGACGUUAGCGGAGGACGGGUGAGUAACACGUGGAUAACCUACCUAUAAGACUGGGAUAACUUCGGGAAACCGGAGCUAAUACCGGAUAAUAUAUUGAACCGCAUGGUUCAAUAGUGAAAGACGGUUUUGCUGUCACUUAUAGAUGGAUCCGCGCCGCAUUAGCUAGUUGGGAAGGUAACGGCUUACCAAGGCAACGAUGCGUAGCCGACCUGAGAGAGUGAUCGGCGACAUGGGAGCGUAGACACCGUCCAGACUCCUACGAGACGCAGCAGUAGGGUAUGUGACGCAAUGGGCGAAAGCCUGACGGAGUAACGGCGCGUGUGUUAUGAAGGUGUUCGGAUCGGAAAACCCUGUUACUAGUGAAGAACAACUGUGUAAGUAACUAUGCACUGCUUGACGGUACUUAAUCAGAAAGCCACGGCUAACUACGUG